UGACCUGCUGAAGAGUCAGAUAAGCUUUUAUCCAGUACGCCAAUAAUCGAAACGCCAUGAACCGCAGACUUUUUGCAGCGUUUUUCCUAUUAUGUGCCGUUCAGAGUUCGCUCGGUGGGGGCGAUGGUCACGAUGGAGACUACAUGAAAUGUAGCAGUGGGACUGUACAAUGCUGUAAUGGCUUGAAGAAAAAGAAUAUCGUUCAAGUCGUGCUGCAAGCGUUAGGCCUAUUAAACGCAGCUCCAUUCAAUAUCCUUGGUGACGUCGAUGUAACUUGCACCCCGGUUGCUGUGGGAGUUCAGGGAGGCGCUGUUAGCGGUCAAAGUUGUACCGGUCAAACACUAUGCUGCUCGGACAAUGACAUCAAUGGAUUUAUCGCGACUGGUUGUUAUCUUUACAAUUUAAAUGUAGGUUAAGUGCGGUCAAAAUGGUAAC